GAGUUUGAUCCCUGGCUCAGAUUGAACGCUGGCGGCAGGCCUAACACAUUGCAAGUCGAGCGAAUGAAGGGAGCUUGCUCCUGGAUUUAGCGGCGGACGGGUGAGUAAUGUAUAGGGAGCUGCCCGAUAGAGGGGGAUACCAGUUGGAAACGACUGUUAAUACCGCAUAAUGUCUACGGACCAAAGUGUGGGACCUUCGGGCCACAUGCUAUCGGAUGCACCUAUAUGGGAUUAGCUAGUUGGUGGGGUAAUGGCUCACCAAGGCGACGAUCCCUAGCUGGUUUGAGAGGAUGAUCAGCCACACUGGAACUGAGACACGGUCCAGACUCCUACGGGAGGCAGCAGUGGGGAAUAUUGGACAAUGGGCGCAAGCCUGAUCCAGCCAUGCCGCGUGUGUGAAGAAGGCCUUCGGGUUGUAAAGCACUUUCAGCGAGGAGGAAGGGUGUUGUGUUAAUAGCACAGCAUUUUGACGUUACUCGCAGAAGAAGCACCGGCUAACUCCGUGCCAGCAGCCGCGGUAAUAC
rnacentral:rRNA from 1 species